rnacentral:rRNA from 1 species
UACGAAUGGGGCAAGCGUUGUUCGGAAUCACUGGGCUUAAAGCGUGCGUAGGCGGACUCACAAGUCAGAAGUGAAAGCCCUGGGCUCAACCCAGGAACUGCUUUUGAAACUGUAAGUCUAGAAUCCUGGAGAGGUUGGGAGAAUUCCGAGUGUAGAGGUGAAAUUCGCAGAUAUUCGGAGGAACACCAGUGGCGUAGGCGCCCAACUGGACAGGUAUUGACGCUCAGGCACGAAAGCGUGGGGAGCAAACAGG